AUCUAUGGCCAUACCACCCUGAACUUGCCCGAUCUUUUCUGAUCUCCAAAGCUAAGUAGGGUUGGGCCUGGUUAGUACUUGGAAGUGAGAAAGAAGUUACAGCCACAGAUA
rnacentral:rRNA from 1 species